rnacentral:rRNA from 1 species
AAUCAACGCUGGCGGCGUGCCUAACACAUGCAAGUCGCACGAGAAAAGGACUUCGGUCCUGAGUAAAGUGGCGCACGGGUGAGUAACACGUGAAUCAUCUACCUUCGAGUGGGGAAUAACCUAGAGAAAUCUGGGCUAAUACCGCAUAACACUUACGAGUCAAAGCAGCAAUGCGCUUGAAGAGGAGUUCGCGGCAGAUUAGUUAGUUGGUGGGGUAAUGGCCUACCAAGACGAUGAUCUGUAUCCGGCCUGAGAGGGCGCACGGACACACUGGAACUGAAACACGGUCCAGACUCCUACGGGAGGCAGCAGUGGGGAAUUUUGCGCAAUGGGGGAAACCCUGACGCAGCAACGCCGCGUGGAGGAUGAAAUCCCCUGGGAUGUAAACUCCUUUCGAUCGGGAAGAUAAUGACGGUACCGAGAGAAGAAGCCCCGGCUAACUUCGUGCCAGCAGCCGCGGUAAUACGAGGGGGGCAAGCGUUGUUCGGAAUUAUUGGGCGUAAAGGGUGCGUAGGCGGCUUGAUAAGUUUGGUGUGAAAUCUAUGGGCUCAACCCAUAGCCUGCACCGAAAACUGUCG